rnacentral:lncRNA from 1 species
GACUGUGAUGGAUGGGGGUUGUGGGUGGGAGGGAACAGGGAACCAGGCUAGACACUCUCUCAGCCCCCCACCCCCAACUCAGGUUCGGCCGGGUGGAUGCGAUGGACGUUGUGCGCCUCCUGGCCCCAGACAAUGGGAUGGCACUUGUGGGCCUGGUCACCUCCAGGCUUGGCCAUGAGCUGGCGAGGCCUCCUGGGACCACAGCACCUUCCCCUUUCGAUACCAUGGACCACGAGGAGGACGAGACGGUGGGAGAGAGACACAGCAUGGAGAAGCCGGAAGAGAGGGAGGCAGCCCCUACAAGGUCGCCAAGCAGAGGUGAACACCAGGAGCUGCUAAGCUCUGUUCUGUGGACCUCAGGCAGUGAGGGGGAACAGGCUUAAGGUUAUACCUGGGAAACUUCAGAAGAGAUUACAACGCAGCGGGGAAGAGGAGGCCACUCAGAACUGUACCAACAAAGCCAGCACUUCCAAGUGGAAGGCGGAGGAGUCUGGAAGGCUGGGGAGGAAGGCGCCAGCAGGUGGGAGAUGCCGCUUUUCCCUAGAAGCCCUGCAUGAUGCUGCCCGGGGGCUCCUCUCCAGAGCUGCCAAGAAUUCUGGGCACCCAGGCGAACGGUUGAUUCAUUAAAACAAAAAAAAUAAUCCACCCAGAUUGUUGACCUGGUUCCCUGAUUCGACAUGGUCUCAGCACACUGUCUUCACAUUUUAUUUUGGGGGCAGGCUAAGUGUCCCAGGUGUGAGGGGGUCUGGGAUGUCAUGGCCCUGAGCCAUCUGCCUGCUUCCUCCUACCCAUGUUCAUUUCCAUGCCCGAUGGGGAGCCCAUUCACAUCAGUUGGACCUGCAGAUUCUGACAGCAGCUGGGCAGACGGCUGAUAUUUUAUUUUCAAUUAAAACACAG